rnacentral:rRNA from 1 species
CGAGUCUUUGCAGUAAUGCAAGGCAUACGGCUCAGUAACACGUAGUCAACCUACCCUAUGGACGAGAAUAAUCUCGGGAAACUGAGCAUAAUUCUUGAUAGAUCAUAAUGCCUGGAAUGGUUUAUGGUUAAAAUGAUUCGUCGCCAUAGGAUGGGACUGCGGCCUAUCAGCUUGUUGGUGAGGUAAUGGCCCACCAAGGCGAUUACAGGUACGGGCUCUGAGAGGAGAAGCCCGGAGAUGGGUACUGAGACACGGACCCAGGCCCUAUGGGGCGCAGCAGGCGAGAAAACUUUGCAAUGUGCGAAAGCACGGCAAGGUUAAUCCGAGUGAUUUCUGCUAAAGAAAUCUUUUACCAGUCGUAAAACCGCUGGUGAAUAAGGGGUGGGCAAGUUCUGGUGUCAGCCGCCGCGGUAAAACCAGCACCUCAAGUGGUCAGGAUGAUUAUUGGGCCUAAAGCAUCCGUAGCCUGCUUUGUAAGUUUUCGGUUAAAUCCAUGUGCUCAACGCAUGGGCUGCCGAAAAUACUGCAUAGCUAGGGAGUGGGAGAGGUAGACGGUACUCAGUAGGUAGGGGUAAAAUCCUUUGAUCUAUUGAUGACCACCUGUGGCGAAGGCGGUCUACCAGAACACGUUCGACGGUGAGGGAUGAAAGCUGGGGGAGCAAACCGGAUUAGAUACCCGGGCAGUCCCAGCUGUAAACGAUGCAGACUCGAUGAUGCAUUGGCAU